rfam:Microgenomates (Woesebacteria) bacterium GW2011_GWC2_45_9 TX25_C0026, whole genome shotgun sequence.
GCUCCCGUGGCUUAACGGACAGAGCGCGUGGCUUCGGACCAUGAGGUGGAAGUUCGAUUCUUCCCGGGAGCA